UCCUAUAUAAGCCAUCUAAAACCCUAAUCCCCAUUGUACAGCCGCAUCUUUUCUCAACAAAUUUGCUCUGAGAAGUGAAGAGAACUCUUCGAUCAUCACCGAUUCAGAAUGAGAGCUAAGUGGAAGAAGAAGCGUAUGAGGAGGUUGAAGAGGAAGCGCCGAAAGAUGAGGCAGAGAUCGAAGUAGAACCACAUUACGCAGUUCUCAAUGGUUCUAUGGUUAAUCAUAUGUAGCCUCAUGCUGUUGAAGUUUUAGUUUGAAAUUGCAGUAACAAUGAGUGGUGAUUUUAUCCUAUUGGCACCGAAUUCAGAUUCUGAUAUCCGUUUUUUGCUAUUGAUUUAUGUUUUUUAUUAA